CGGCGCAGAGUCGCUGUAAUAAAUGCUCGGGAAGUUAUGGAGAGGAAGAAUAGGAUCCCAGUGAUUAAUGCCAAAGCCCUGUUGCCUGGGGAGAGGGUGAUGUUUGACUUUCUUGUACAGCUGCAGUUUGUGUGGUGAAGGUGCUCCCACAAUGUGGUUGGAUUCCAACAUCUGCCAAGAUGGGAUUCGAACCAGGACUUCAGUCGUUUGUUUUAAUAUUUUGGAUAAAAGUUAAAUACAUUAGGAUGAGGGUGUCACUGACUGGGCCCAAAGGGCAGUAAAGAGUCAACCACAUUGCUGUGGGUCUGGAGUCACAUGUAGGCCAGACCAGGAUAUUGAGAAUAAUUGAGACUGGAAUCUCAAAAACCAUUUUCUACAGUCAGCUGAGUCAUCAGGAUCUGAAUACCAUUGGCAUUUAACUGUGGAAGGAGAAAGGGUGCUAGAUGGUGAAGGUUUGCAGACUGAAAUCUAAAAAUCACGUGCAGAUUGUGAUUAAGUUACCCAGCAUUUGAAGAACCACAGAUGGAGAAUAACUCGGCCAAAAUCCUGCACACUCUCCUCACAGCAUUGUUGGUCUAUCUGCGCCAAAUGGACUGUGAAUGGCACAAGACAGCAGCUCACUACCAUCUUCUCAAGGGUAACUAGAGAUGGGGAAUAAAUGCUGGCUGAGCCAGUGAUGCCCAUAUCCUGGAAAUGGGUUCUAUCUCUAGUUGCUGAAACCCAGUUGAUGUUACUGCAGGAUGAUGAGGGACGCUGAGUGCAUCCUCCAGGAGGCAGCACCAUCACAUUACCCCUGCCUACACCCACACAGUAACACCGCAACGUCACUGGUACAAAAGGCAGUGAAGCCAAAGGAGGACUGAGAUAUAGUUCUUCGAGGUAAAGUCAUGAAAGGGGAUUGGAACACAGCAGGAACAGGAGACUGAGCUGGAUGGUCAGCUGUUUCCCAUUGGAUGGUGGAGCAGGAUUGAAAGGCUGAAUGGCCUCCUGCUGCUAACUCCCAGGUCUGUAUAUAGCCAUGGAGCCUGGGUAGGAAGGAGUGAGCAGGGAUUCUCCAGGAGAUUGCACUUCCACAUCAGUUUUCAGUGAGGGAUGGUUUGAUGGAUUUUAUUUAACAUUUAUCUGUAACA